CGAACGGGGAGAUUCAUCGUCAGCGGACGCCGGCUUCGCGUCGGUCGGCGAUGUCCCGCGGGGGCCCUCGCGGCUCUCAGCGCGGGCACGCUGCCGUGCGCCGAUGUAUCCGGCUUCGCCGUCGUGCACUUCUCCCCUGGUAGAACGUCGCGACCCGCUGGGUGUCGGUCUACGGCCCGGGUGCGGUGCCUGACGCGCCGCCGGUAAAACGGCGCGCGUMAAACCCCCGGUCGCCCGGCCGGCUGCCCGGYGGUACGCGCAAGGUAUCAGGCCGCAYACACAUUWRAACGGUGCAUCGAGGYYGUCGCAAGCGCGCGCCACGGUAMACGGAGGUACGGACCUAGCGCCGUCACCGGUCCUGGCCCRCUGUUGGUCGUACGGUUAACCUUCGACAGGCCUACGAACGUCCCAGCGUGGGGGUGUCGGUUGCUCGUCUCCCGCGCGCUCUCGCGUUGGC
rnacentral:rRNA from 1 species